rnacentral:rRNA from 1 species
UACGGAGGGGGCUAGCGUUGUUCGGAAUUACUGGGCGUAAAGCGCACGUAGGCGGCUUUGUAAGUUAGAGGUGAAAGCCCGGGGCUCAACCCCGGAAUUGCCUUUAAGACUGCAUCGCUUGAACGUCGGAGAGGUGAGUGGAAUUCCGAGUGUAGAGGUGAAAUUCGUAGAUAUGGGGAGGAACACCGGUGGCGAAGGCGGCCAUCUGGACGGAUACUGACGCUGAGACGCGAAAGCGUGGGGAGCAAACAGG